AGCGAACGCUGGCGGCAGGCCUAAAACAUGCAAGUCGAACGCCGUAGCAAUACNGGAGUGGCAGACGGGUGAGUUAACACGUGGGAAACGUACCCUUUUGUUUCGGAACAACACAGGAAACUUGUGCUAAUACCGGAUAAGCCCUUACGGGGAAAGAUUUAUCGCCGAAGGAUCGGCCCGCGUCUGAUUAGCUAGUUGGUGGGGUAACGGCCCACCAAGGCUACGAUCAGUAGCUGGUCUGAGAGGAUGAUCAGCCACACUGGGACUGAGACACGGCCCAGACUCCUACGGGAGGCAGCAGUUAGGAAUCUUGGACAAUGGGCGCAAGCCUGAUCCAGCCAUGCCGCGUGAGUGAUGAAGGCCUUAGGGUUGUAAAGCUCUUUCAGCGGGGAAGAUAAUGNCGGUACCCGCA
rnacentral:rRNA from 1 species